UACGAGGGGGGCGAGCGUUGUUCGGAAUUAUUGGGCGUAAAGGGUGCGUAGGCGGUUUGGUAAGUCUGAUGUGAAAUCUAUGGGCUCAACUCAUAGUCUGCAUCGGAAACUGCCGGGCUUGAGUAUGGGGGAGGUGAGUGGAAUUCCUGGUGUAGCGGUGAAAUGCGUAGAUAUCAGGAGGAACACCUGUGGCGAAAGCGGCUCACUGGACCAUAACUGACGCUGAUGCACGAAAGCUAGGGGAGCAAACAGG
rnacentral:rRNA from 1 species